UGGCGGACGGGUGAGUAAUGUCUGGGAAACUGCCUGAUGGAGGGGGAUAACUACUGGAAACGGUAGCUAAUACCGCAUAACGUCGCAAGACCAAAGAGGGGGACCUUAGGGCCUCUUGCCAUCGGAUGUGCCCAGAUGGGAUUAGCUAGUAGGUGGGGUAACGGUUCACCUAGGCGACGAUCCCUAGCUGGUCUGAGAGGAUGACCAGCCACACUGGAACUGAGACACGGUCCAG
rnacentral:rRNA from 1 species